rnacentral:tRNA from 1 species
UCCCCUGUAGUUCAAUGGUAGAACACUGCACUGUUAAUGCAGAUGUUGUAGGUUCGAGUCCUACCGGGGGAG